AGAGUUUGAUCCUGGCUCAGGAUGAACGCUGGCGGCGUGCCUAAUACAUGCAAGUCGAACGAGAUACUCUUGAUCUUCGGAGAUAGAGUUGGCAGUGGCGAACGGGUGAGUAACGCGUUGGUGACCUGCCCCAAAGCAGGGGAUAACAGUUUGAAAGAACUGCUAAUACCCUAUGUGAUCAUAGAGGUUAGAGUCUCUAUGAUUAAAGCUCCGGCGCUUUGGGAGGGGCCUGCGUCCCAUCAGCUUGUUGGUAAGGUAACGGCUUACCAAGGCUAUUACGGGUAGGGGACCUGAGAGGGUGGUCCCCCACAAUGGAACUGAAACACGGUCCAUACACCUACGGGUGGCAGCAGUAGGGAAUAUUGCACAAUGGACGAAAGUCUGAUGCAGCAACGCCGCGUGUGCGAUGAAGGCCUUCGGGUCGUAAAGCACUUUUACGAAGGAAGAGGAAGGACGGUACUUCGUGAAUAAGGAUCGGCUAACUACGUGCCAGCAGCCGCGGUAACACGUAGGAUCCAAGCGUUAUCCGGAUUUAUUGGGCGUAAAGCGCGUGUAGGCUGCGUGGUAAGUUGGGUGUUAAAGCUCCAGGCUUAACCUGGAGAGGUCGCUCAAUACUGCCAUGCUAGAGGACGGUAGAGGGAGGUGGAAUUCCGAGUGUAGCGGUGGAAUGCGUAGAUAUUCGGAGGAACACCAGUGGCGAAAGCGGCCUCCUGGACCGUUUCUGACGCUCAGACGCGAAAGCUAGGGGAGCAAACAGGCUUAGAUACCCUGGUAGUCCUAGCUGUAAACGAUGCAAACUUGGUGUUGGUGGUGUAAAAUCUAUCAGUGCCGCAGCUAACGCGAUAAGUUUGCCGCCUGAAGACUACGGCCGCAAGGCUAAAACUCAAAGGAAUUGACGGGUCCCCGCACAAGCAGCGGAGCGUGUGGUUUAAUUCGAUCUACGCGAAGAACCUUACCUGGGUUUGACAUACAAGUGGUAGUGAAGUGAAAGCGGAACGACCCUUCGGGGAGCUUGUACAGGUGGUGCAUGGCUGUCGUCAGCUCGUGUCGUGAGAUGUUCGGUUAAGUCCGGUAACGAGCGCAACCCUCACUGUAUGUUACAAGUGUCAUACGGGACUGCCGGUAUUAAACCGGAGGAAGGCGAGGAUGAUGUCAAGUCAGCAUGUCCUUUAUACCCAGGGCUACACACACGCUACAAUGGGCAGUACAAUAGGUUGCAAUACCGCGAGGUGGAGCCAAUCCUAAAAGCUGUCCCCAGUUCAGAUUGCAGGCUGCAACUCGCCUACAUGAAGUCGGAGUUGCUAGUAACCGCGCGUCAGCAUUAGUGCGGUGAAUACGUUUCCGGGGAUUGUACACACCGCCCGUCACGUCAUGGGAGCUGCUAACACCUGAAGUCGGUAUCCUAACCUCACGGAGGGAGCCGCCGAAGGUGGGAGUGGUGACU
rnacentral:rRNA from 1 species